UCUCUCUCUCUCUCUCUCUCUCUCUCUCUCUCUCUCUCUCUCUCUCUCUCUCUCUCUAUCUUGCUCUCACUCUCUUGUUCUCAUUCCCUCUUAAUGUAAUUCCAAAUUUCUACACUAACAUGGGAACUAGACUUCAGUCAGUGUUGGUGUUAAUGUAUGAAUGUGUGGUGGUUAGGAGAACACUGACUUCAUUCCUGCAAUUUGUCCUCUUUCUUAUUUUGAUGUGUGCUUAUUAUGUUAUGUAUGGAUCCUAUACUCCUAAUACUGUUCAGGCAUCUUAGCCUAGCAGUGAUGUUGCUGAGGUAUCUAAGCUUGGCAGGAUGUGAUAUGGUCCUGGUAGUUUGUUGUUGAGGUAUCUUCUUAGCCUGGCAGGACGUGGGUAAUCUUGGUAGUUUGUUGUUGAGGUAUCUUCUUAACUUUGUUGGACGUUGGGUUGUCCUGGUAGUUUUGGAACUCGACCCCCAGUCCAGUCCAUUUCACUCCCAGUUAGUGCUGCUUGAUGUCUGCCUGAAGGGUCUUCCUGUCACCGAACCUUCUCUUGGAUCAGGGAGGCCUAGAUGGGGAAAUGCCUGGCUUUUUUGAAGGAUGAUCCGGAUGUUGGAUCCACUUUCAAAGUGCUACGAAACGCAUUCGGGAGGAAAUCAAGCACAGGGUUUUCAAAAAAUAAAGGUGUUCUUCAGCAAGCCUUUCAAACAAGUGAAGGAAACAUUCUGCCCUGACGACAGUUUUUGCCGGAAAAAAACAAGACAUGGAUUUGCUGAAUAAACAUUUCAUGAUCACAUUCUCACACACCAGGGACUUCUGUCUUUGAAGAGCGGUUGGGCUUUAGAUUUUGCCAUGUUGGAUAGCGUUCCCUUCAGUGAGAAGCUGACGUGAUGUUUGAGAGUGUACUGCGAUUAUAUGGGACUAUGUGGUUGGUUACAUCCUUCUGUAGACGAUGAUGAAGUUCAACAGCGAGUUGAACCACUAGUUAUUCGGGCCCAAGGCAGUGAUGUGUGUGUUUAUCGUGUUUGACAAACCAAGUCUCAUUUUUUAUGACAUUUGCAUAUUUAUUCAGCUCUCCUAAACCACACACAUCAAUUCACUUGGUGCUGAACAUGAAACACGGUUUAGCUAGGAAAUGGAACUGACUUGAUCAACUCAUUUUCAUAACUAGGUGGAUUUAUGUAUUUAAUACACAUGAAACACAAGGAAAGUGUACACUAAGUGAGGUGAAGGGGGUGAGGCAAUAUUUAUACUAUACUGUUAUGUAUACACAGAGACAAAUUAGGACAUUUCACUCACCAUCGAUUAGUGUAGGCAGCUCCUUAUUAAAACGUAACAUUGUAGAUUUGUGUCUUAGUGUCUCGGCCCAGACUGACUUCCGAGCUGGGAACUCCUUCCUGUUGAUGAUGAUGAUGAUGAGGAUGAGGAUGAUGAUGUUUGUAGCAUUUUUAGUGACCUGUCUGCAUAAGUACAGAACGACUACCCCAGAGUCUCCUAACUGUAGAUUAUGAUGAUGAGGAGGGUGUUGAGGAUGAAGAGUCAUCAGUGUAUGAAAUGGCCUCUGAAGAUCUCAUUGUGUCUGACUGUCUCUCUCUGCAUCUCCCUCUCAGUCUGUUAGUGUUUCAGACCCAGGUCACCAGGUUCCAGUUUAUUGGUUUGCAGAAGCUUAGAUUUUAUAACUUGUUAUUAAAAACCUACGCCUUACGUCUCGCAAAUCUCCUGUCAUUGGAUGUAAAUCAACUCUUGGACGCUUAAAUGUGUUUGUGUGUGUGUGUGUGUGUGUGUGUGUGUGUGUGUGUGUGUGUGUGUGUGUGUGUGUGUGUGUGUGUGUGUGUGUGUGUGUGUGUGUGUGUGUGUGUGUGUGUGUGUGUGUUUGUGUGUGUGGGGUUGCAUCUUGUGUAGCGGUACAGAGAUGUCCCCAGGGCCUUUUCCACGAGACUCAUUACGCAUGCUAAUGUCACAUUAAUGAAAUCGGCUUAGUUUAAGGUUUACAGCGUAGCCUACGCACACAGAUUUCGAUUUUUUACACUUCCCACAUAUUUCCCGUCAAAUCUUAUUUAGAUUUUUUUUUCCUGUGGACGUGCUGAUCUGGAAAGUUUACCAACAGAAAGUCAAAACGAUAAGGGAAAGUUGAGCGGGUAAAUGUCAACCGUUGUGAACUGGAUGUUGCUCAUGUCAGCCUAGCCUAGCCUAGCCUAGCCUAGCCUAACCUGUCCUAUGCGGAUCCAUUGUGGAGCUAGCUAGCGUAAACACAGCGAACUCUGCAGAGUGGCAGUUUGUUAAUCAUUCAUAACCACCUUGUCAGUUACAAAAGAAAAACUGACAGUGACAACAGAGGAUCCUUGGUUCUGGUAAACCGGACCCUAGCACCAAACCGUUAUUUUACUUUAAUCAUUAGCCUCUUCAUGCUAACUAAAAGAUAAGAAGUGGCAGAGGUUCAGCUUUGUAGAUAUUAUCCUCCAAAUAGAGAACAAAAAAAACUACCAAGUCAUCGUCAUAUUGUCUGGAAAACUAU
ensembl:lncRNA